AACCUGCCCCCGACACCACUGCCGCUUCUGCCAGACAGAUGGAACUCUCCAACGUGAAAAUCUGUGCAGCCAUUCCAACAAGCAGGACUGCCUGGUGUUGGCCGAAGGAUGCUGAAGAAAAAGAUGUAAGGACUGGGACACUCUUACCCCAAGACUGGAUGAAGAUGGGAUCCAUUUCAGUCUGAAUUGUGUUUCAUGGCUGCAGUGGGGCAUUCCUCUGAUUUCUUGUUUCACUGGUUAGAUGGAUGAUCCAAUCCGGCCCAACUCCAGUGUUCUAAUAAAGACUCCCUUGGUCUAAUAUGAGAUUUCUCAUCGGUCAGUACUAUUGAAGUUGACGGUCCAUUUCACAUCAAAGGAGAUCUACUCAUCAGUGUGCUGUUGUCAAUCUGAGCUUUCCAGAUAUGUGCUCUCAAACUCAAAGACAAGUCGUUGAAUCCAGGCAUUUCCAGAGAAAGCUGCUUCAGCACUUUCCUUGGUUUUUGUUUUUGGAAUACUUCUUUCUACAGUAGUCCCCAGACUCUAAAGUAAUAGAAUAGUUCCUAAGUUCAUCCAGAUCUUUCCCAUGUCUGAAUUGUUGGUCCUCUUCUUACCCCCAGCUCACAGAUAAAAAAGAAACAACAGUAAAGGAAUAAAAAUGGUUUCUCUGUGACUGAAUCAUUCCAGUCUUGAAGCACCCUGUGGGUUAAUUAACUCUUAUUGCAUUUACUACCUCCCACAUACUUGUGUGGGGGAAAGUGCCCUUCUUGGCAUUUGCCUAGUUGGAAAAAGGAACAGGAUGGUGGCACUAGACUUUGCUCUUGAAGUGCAUGGCAUGGUGGCAGCAUAAGGCCUGAACUAGCUUAGUUUUUCACUGACGGGGAGCAGCUGGCAUAGCACCACCUUUCCCUGACAUUGUAUGGUGGUUUUGAUGAAUUCUGGGCCAUACUUCCUUCCAGAAUAACAGUUCUAGUUUAGCAUGGGGUUUGGUACCAUUAUAAGGAGACACAUGGUGUCUCCUGUAGGAGGAGUUUGGAGAGCUUUACUGCAGCAAUCAAGUUGUGUGUUAAGAUGAUUGACUGAAUCCUGUGUCUACACUGCUUCUACACUAUGUGAAAGCAAAAGAGAACAGAUGCUGUUAUUUCCCCUCACUAAUUUCUCAUAAAUAGGUAGGAGUUUUUGGUGAGCAUUGUCUUA